UGCCAGCCGCCGCGGUAACACGAACCGUACAAACGUUAUUCGGAAUCACUGGGCUUAAAGGGUGCGUAGGCGGAUCGACAAGUUGGGGGUGAAAUCCCGGGGCUUAACCCCGGAACUGCCCUCAAAACUGUCGAUCUAGAGACCGGGAGAGGUAAGCGGAAUUCCUAGUGUAGAGGUGAAAUUCGUAGAUAUUAGGAAGAACACCAGUGGCGAAGGCGGCUUACUGGACCGGUACUGACGCUGAGGUACGAAAGCGUGGGGAGCAAACAGGAUUAGAUA
rnacentral:rRNA from 1 species